rnacentral:rRNA from 1 species
UACGGGGGGGGCAAGCGUUGUUCGGAAUUACUGGGCGUAAAGGGCUCGUAGGCGGCCAACUAAGUCAGACGUGAAAUCCCUCGGCUUAACCGGGGAACUGCGUCUGAUACUGGAUGGCUUGAGUUUGGGAGAGGGAUGCGGAAUUCCAGGUGUAGCGGUGAAAUGCGUAGAUAUCGGGAAGAACACCCGUGGCUAAGGCGGCUCUCUAGUACGGUACUGACGCUGAGACGCGAAAGCGUGGGGAGCGAACAGG